GGCAUUUCCGGUGAACACCAAUUGAAUUGUAUCGAUAUCAUUUAAAAGUGUGCGGCUCUGAUAGUGCAUGGCUUUGAUACUUAAAACAAAAAUCGAAAGUGCGCGUCUUGAUACUUCAAGUUUUCAACCCUGCUUUUUUCAGGACAAUCAAGGGCAGAGAGGUGUGCAGCACCCCAACACACAGACGGGGACAUGAAGUAACAAUUCGGGUGCACCCUCAAAGGACAAACGUAAUGUUUGCAAGACUUUGAACUAAAAUCCUCGGAAAGACACACUUCUUGUCGAUGAUACUCUGGUCGUUCGAUACCAGUUUUUUUUUAUAGUUUUGAUACACAAGAAAAAGUUCAUCCUAGUCUGCGACGCCUCUCCUUCAAACCAGCCGCCACUUUGGCCUCGUAGUUCUAGAGAACAAGGGAAGACAACCCUGCCUGCACCGCCCAGGUCCCCUCGUCUGGAGAGGCCUUUGUUUGGCUCGCAAACAGACCCGGACGUCCGAUGUGGAUGGGAGGUGCAGUUUUCGGCCCUGUGCUAAGUGUGUGGCUUCUGUGAUAGAUAUGUUAUGUUGUUCCAGGACCUUUCUAACCACACUCAGCCAGGUCCUUCUUGGUCUUCCUCUUGAUUUGAAGCCGGAUUCACGGGGUGGACACGACCCGCCCCCAACCACACCCACUUCUCCUUGUGUACCAGGAAACCAAACAGCGGCGAUGACGUAACACACACUCCAGCACUGGGACAUCAUCCGUUUCACUUGACGUCAUGCUCUUAAACCAGUCUGACGUCACAAGGAGCCUGGUCUGGCCCUGUCUCCCGCUCUGUCCAGGUCUCUGGAGUGCUCUUCACAUGAUUAACCCUUUGUAGCCGUGGCCGGGCGAUUAACUCUUGUCAGGCCGUUUGCUAGUGGACUAACGUCGUCCUAUGGGUUUUCUCCAAAGUGUCAUCGUGAGGAAUGGGGAGGAUUUUGUUGUGGAAUGAAAGAAUGCGAGGAUGGGUUGGUAGGCAGAUAGAGAGAGGGAAGGAAAGAGAGAGAGAGAGAGAGAGAGAGAGAGAGAGAGA
rnacentral:lncRNA from 1 species